CGGAGUGUAGCGCAGUCUGGUAGCGCAUCGCGCUGGGGGUGCGGUGGUCGCGGGUUCAAAUCCCGCCGCUCCGACCA
rnacentral:tRNA from 1 species